UCCAGGGUAGCCUAGUGGACAUGGCAUCUGCCCGGUAAGCAGAACACUGUGGGUUCGUUUCCCAUCCCUGGAC